rnacentral:rRNA from 1 species
CAAGUAGAACGCUGAAGGAAGGAGCUUGCUCUUUCUGGAUGAGUUGCGAACGGGUGAGUAACGCGUAGGUAACCUGCCUGGUAGCGGGGGAUAACUAUUGGAAACGAUAGCUAAUACCGCAUAACAGUAGAUGUUGCAUGAUAUCUGCUUGAAAGGGGCAAUUGCUCCACUACCAGAUGGACCUGCGUUGUAUUAGCUAGUUGGUGAGGUAACGGCUCACCAAGGCGACGAUACAUAGCCGACCUGAGAGGGUGAUCGGCCACACUGGGACUGAGACACGGCCCAGACUCCUACGGGAGGCAGCAGUAGGGAAUCUUCGGCAAUGGACGGAAGUCUGACCGAGCAACGCCGCGUGAGUGAAGAAGGUUUUCGGAUCGUAAAGCUCUGUUGUAAGAGAAGAACGAGUGUGAGAGUGGAAAGUUCACACUGUGACGGUAUCUUACCAGAAAGGGACGGCUAACUACGUGCCAGCAGCCGCGGUAAUACGUAGGUCCCGAGCGUUAUCCGGAUUUAUUGGGCGUAAAGCGAGCGCAGGCGGUUAGAUAAGUCUGAAGUUAAAGGCUAUGGCUUAACCAUAGUACGCUUUGGAAACUGUUUAACUUGAGUGCAGAAGGGGAGAGUGGAAUUCCAUGUGUAGCGGUGAAAUGCGUAGAUAUAUGGAGGAACACCGGUAGCGAAAGCGGCUC